rnacentral:tRNA from 1 species
UGGGGCGUAGCCAAGCGGCAAGGCAAGUGGCUUUGGACCACUCAUCCCUGGUUCGAAUCCAGGCGCCCCAGCCA